GACGAACGCUGGCAGCGUGCCUAAUACAUGCAAGUCGAGCGGACAGAAGGGAGCUUGCUCCCGGAAGUUAGCGGCGGACGGGUGAGUAACACGUGGGCAACCUACCCUGUAGAUCGGGAUAACAUCGAGAAAUCGGUGCUAAUACCGGAUAAUCAUUUGAAGUGCAUGCUUCGAAUGUAAAAGAUGGCUCCGGCUAUCACUACGGGAUGGGCCCGCGGCGCAUUAGCUAGUUGGUAAGGUAAUGGCUUACCAAAGCAACGAUGCGUAGGCGACCUGAGAGGGGUAUCGGCCACACUGGGACUGAGACACGGCCCAGACUCCUACGGGAGGCAGCAGUAGGGAAUCUUCCGCAAUGGACGAAAGUCGGACGGAGCAACGCCGCGUGAGUGAUGAAGGUUUUCGGAUCGUAAAGCUCUGUUGUUAGGGAAGAACAAGUGCCGUUUGAAUAAGGCGGCACCUUGACGGUACCUAACCAGAAAGCCACGGCUAACUACGUGCCAGCAGCCGCCGUAAUAC
rnacentral:rRNA from 1 species